GAGAGAGAGACAUGCGCGCAUAUCAAUAAGCGGAGGAAAAGAAACUAACAAGGAUUCCCUUAGUAACGGCGAGUGAAGCGGGAAGAGCUCAAAUUUGAAAUCUUCAAGGUUUUACCUUGACGAAUUGUAGUUUAAAGAAGUGUUUUCUGCUGAAGUUUUGGUAAAAGUUCUUUGGAAUAGGACAUCAUAGAGGAGUGAGAAUCCCGUAUUUGACCAUUAUUUUCAGCUUUGUGAUACACUUUCAAAGAGUCGGAUUGUUUGGGAAUGCAGUCCAAAAUGGGUGGUAAAUUUCAUCUAAAGCUAAAUAUUGGCGAGAGACCGAUAGCGAACAAGUACCGUGAGGGAAAGAUGAAAAGAACUUUGAAAAGAGAGUUAAACAGUACGUGAAAUUGUCAAAAGGGAAGCGUUUGACACCAGUGUUGUUUUCUCGAAAAUCAAUUAAAAAUGGCUCGAUUUUGUAUUGUUGAGACCUUAAAAGCUCACUGUACAUUUUUCGUGUCUUUUUUAAUGCACUUUUCGUUUAACAAGUCAACAUCAGUUUCUUUUGUUGUAAAAGGGUCAUUGGAAGAUGGCUUUCUUUUCGGAGAAAGUGUUUAUAGCCUUUGGCCUCUGCAAUCGAAGAGACUGAGGUCUACAGCGUAGACUCUUCGGGGUUAGAUACAUUUGUGCUAAGUUAUAGCUUUUUAUAGACAACUUGUUGACUAUAAUUAGUCUUGUAGCUUACUCGCUUAUGCUAUUUUACCUACGCUUAGGAUGUUGAAGAUGUAGCACAUCAU
rnacentral:rRNA from 1 species